rnacentral:lncRNA from 1 species
AGAGCCGCGCACCAAGCCGAUGGCGGUGGACGCAGCAGGGCCCCGCGGUCUGAGUGCGGGCAGGCGCGCGUGGGCGUGUCUCCCUGGCCCACGCGUGUCCCCGGCAUCAGUGUCUCGGCUCUGGUCCAGGACGAAGACUUCUGAAAGCGAGCCAAGGAGAAUCACAGUUCUUAACGGAGCCCCUGACUGCCCGGUGGAAGGAGGUGAUUUAGAAGACAGUGAGUUGAUCUGGGGCAAAGUGAAGCAUCAGUAGCGCCUUCCAUCCCUUCACCUCACCUGGAUCUCUUCACUUCACUCCACGUCUGUCGUCUCCCAUGCAUGAAGCAACAUGGCCAAGUGAAGCUGCAACCAGUAAAGUGUAAGCACAGGAUGUUUCUUGGCUUCAAACCAUUUGGAUAAGUGAUGGCAGCAAGCUUCGCCACUGUAAAGUCACCUCUUUGUAAGAAGACAGGAGCUCUUUGUAAAGAAUAUGAGACCUGAGGCUGGGGGAUGGCUGAGAAGGGAAAAGCACCUCUGCACAAGCGUGAGAAAAGGAGUUUGUUCUUCCACAUCCAUGUAGAAAUCUUGAUGCCGUGCCGUGAACCCCAGCUCUCCUACGGGAAGAUGGGAGGCGUAGACAGGAGUUCAUCUGGAAGCUUGAGGCCAGCCACCCAGAUCCUCAGAGCUGCAGACAAAAGAGAGGCCCUGCAGCAAAAGAGUGGAAGGUGAGAACCAACUCCGGAAAGUUGCCCUCUGACCUUUACAAGUGUAUACAUCCACACACAUACAAUAAAAUCAAUUGCUCAAUCACG